UCCCUCGUGGCUCAGAUCGUAAAGCAUCUGCUUGCAACGCAGGAGACCCACCCAGGUUCAAUUCCUGGGUGGGGAA
rnacentral:tRNA from 1 species